ACGCUGGCGGCAGGCUUAACACAUGCAAGUCGAACGGUAGCAGGAGAAAGGUUGCUUUCUUGCUGACGAGUGGCGGACGGGUGAGUAAUGCUUGGGAAUCUGGCUUAUGGAGGGGGAUAACGACGGGAAACUGUCGCUAAUACCGCGUAUUAUCGGAAGAUGAAAGUGCGGGACUGAGAGGCCGCAUGCCAUAGGAUGAGCCCAAGUGGGAUUAGGUAGUUGGUGGGGUAAAGGCCUACCAAGCCUGCGAUCUCUAGCUGGUCUGAGAGGAUGACCAGCCACACUGGAACUGAGACACGGUCCAGACUCCUACGGGAGGCAGCAGUGGGGAAUAUUGCGCAAUGGGGGGAACCCUGACGCAGCCAUGCCGCGUGAAUGAAGAAGGCCUUAGGGUUGUAAAGUUCUUUCGGUAUUGAGGAAGGUUGAUGUGUUAAUAGCACAUCAAAUUGACGUUAAAUACAGAAGAAGCACCGGCUAACUCCGUGCCAGCAGCCGCGGUAAUACGGAGGGUACGAGCGUUAAUCGGAAUAACUGGGCGUAAAGGGCACGCAGGCGGUUAUUUAAGUGAGGUGUGAAAGCCCCGGGCUUAACCUGGGAAUUGCAUUUCAGACUGGGUAACUAGAGUACUUCAGGGAGGGGUAGAAUUCCGCGUGUAGCGGUGAAAUGCGUAGAGAUGUGGAGGAAUACCGAAGGCGAAGGCAGCCCCUUGGGAAUGUACUGACGCUCAUGUGCGAAAGCGUGGGGAGCAAACAGGAUUAGAUACCCUGGUAGUCCACGCUGUAAACGCUGUCGAUUUGGGGGUUGGGGUUUAACUCUGGCGCCCGUAGCUAACGUGAUAAAUCGACCGCCUGGGGAGUACGGCCGCAAGGUUAAAACUCAAAUGAAUUUGACGGGGGCCCGCACAA
rnacentral:rRNA from 1 species